GACUCUUAAAGUCUGUCUUCCUUGUCUUCCAUGAAGAUCCAUGAGCCUUGGUAAUAAUGGUUUGCUUUAGAUGUUCUAUUUAGGGCCAAGGACUCAAUGAUUCUUUAUUUUCUGCAGCUGACCAGUGUAAGGUCUUUAUGUUAAUUUUCAGAAAAUGCUUCUCUGCUCUGAGUUGGGAGACACAUUAACCCAUGGGUGAAGCUACAUCUUAAAAAAAAAACUUCGCUAUAUUGUCAUAAUCUCUACUUGAAGGUUUAUCAUAGAACUUAGUGAUAGGUUCUGGGAUGAUUCAGCUUCUAAAAUGUAUUCAUUAUGAUUUGUUCACAUUUUGUGAUGUUUCAAUUAUGGUGAUGUAGUUAAACUCCUAGCAAUAAUGUCAACAAAAUGUUAUUGGUUAGUUUGUUUCAUGUAUAACUGACAAAUAAAUCGGUAAGUACUUUAGGAAAUACUUGCUCUAAACCAGCAUCAUCAAUUUCUAUGAGGAGGUAUAUUUUGGUAAUACUGUUUUAUUAUUUUAAUUUUUAAAAGAAUGACAGCCACAUUAUGAAUAUCAAAUACAUUAAUGGGAAUUUACAUUAUUGUCUGUUCAUGUUCCUGUUGAAGCGAAUUUGUGAGUACAUCAAACAUUCAGAUGCUUUUGCUGCCAUGAGAAGAGCAGUUAUUCGCUCUACUCAGAAACAUUCUUGCUCUGACCUUGAUACCUGUGUCCUAUCCUCAUGCAAUACACCAUGUCAGUACUGAACUUCACUUUUGGGUAUUAGCUUUCUUCAGAGCCCCUUUCUUUCAGUCAAGUGAUAACAAGCAUUAACAUCAUCUAAGAGCUUCUCAUCCAAACCAUUAGCCUAUUUUAGAGACCUCAUUUACCCUUUUCACAAGGUUUCUUGGGGACAUAACUAAUGCUUUCACCUUCAAGGUACUGUUACACUCCUGGAAUUCUGAUUUACACACGACCCCUGAACAACAUGAAUAGAAGAGUUAUCUCCAGCGCUGGCACAUUUCAUGUCAUUAAAGGACCCUGGAAUAAAACAUAAGAUACACCGUGACAGCCAUUAACUCCCUACACUGCUGUCUUUGCAUCCUGUCUUCAAGCAGUGUCUUCAAGAGAAGAUGCUGGAAUUCAGCCAUUUUGACACAAUCAUAAAACUGAAGUUUGAUGUUUAGAGGUCAAUACUCAUUAUCUUCAUUUUGAAAAUAUUUUGUUUUGGAGAUGCUGGAGAAACCCAGAAAACUUCAGGUUGCUUUUGGCUAUGGUCUGUAGCAUAGCAGUAGAAAGCAAACUAAGAGUGAUGACAUUUGCUUCACACCAUGGUCGCACUGGAUCAAAUCAGUCAAGUCAGGAGGUCAAGAUGUGCAUGCUAAGGGUAUUGCUGGCUCCUGCCAAGUGCCCCAAACAAGGAAAUGGUCAUCUGAAGGUCAACAUGUAGAAGAACAGAUAAGAAGCAACUCCUUGCAUUUACACCAGAGGCCAAGGGCCAGAUAGGUUACUGUUUUUCCUCAUGCUAAUGGAAACAGAUGUGUCUCCAAAGCUGUUCCAGGCCAGGUUGAAGCUGGAGGGACUGGUGGAUAUCCCUAGUGUCAGACCUAGAAGUCAUGUUGAUGUCUGUGGCCUGAGUUACCUCUGAAGGCCAUGUGGAUAAACCUGGUCUGUUCUUCUACCUGAGGCCAUCCUGAUGACUAUAGAAAACCAUGCUUCCACCAGCAACCAUGUUGAUGUGAGUGGUCUUGGUGAUGCCCAGGUCCUUGCUGCUGCUAAGGGCAUGUCUGGAUCUAUGUUGAUAUUUGGGACCUAUGUUGAAGGUCAUGUUGAUAUCUGUAGUCUGUGUUGCAGUUUAAAACUAAUGUCUGUGGCUAUGCUGCUGGGAGUACUGGGGAUGGUUGGCUGGUUGGUGUCAUGUGAGUAGCCUGUUUUGGCACCUGAGGCCAUGGAGAUGUCUCUGGCCUAUGCUGUGAUGGUGUCCAUGGCCCAUGCAGAGGCAGAAGGGGUUGGUUGAUGUCCAUGGUUUGUACUGCCCCUGGAGACCAUGCUGAGGUCUGUGGCACGGGCUGAUACCUGGAGAUGAUGUAGAUGUAUGUGGUCCCGAACUGUCACCAGAAACCAUGUGUAAGUCCAUGCUGCAUGCUCCUUCCACAGACGGUAAAGGUCAAGGAAGCUACUUCUGCUGUGGUGCUGAUGACUACAGACUCACUGUUGAGACAGAGGGACUUCUAGGACAACCACAACCCCCUUCUCCAAAAGCAACAGCCUAGACAGAAAGCCAUUGAAGAAAAUUCUUAAUAAUUGUGACAAGAUGCUGACGUGUAGCUCUUCACAACUGGCAGCUUCUGGCAGAGUGCAGGCGAGGAAAGACUUGGUUUCUUUAAGUGUCUGGCCACUGAGAGUUUGACCCACCGGAGUGCUGUAGCACAGACACGCUAUGUCUCUCAGCAGAAGAAUAAAUCAAGAGGAGAGGUUAAGUUUCAUCAUUACCUAGGUACGAUGCAGCGGUUUGGUCGUGUUUACCAAUCAAACAUGAGCGUCUGUCUGCUGCUUGCCAAAUUGUGUGGAACCUAACCACAGGCGUAGGCAGGCUGCCUAUCUCUUUUCGUGGCACUAGUGAAUAAUACUUAGAUGACUGGCAGCUACCAUCGUUUUGCUGUUUCUAAUUUCUUAGCCUACUUUCCCUCUAGUAUUGCAAUGAAACAUUCAUUGUCUAAUCAGGUCUUUAUGACGCGAUCUACCUUUGCCUUGUGCAUGCUCUGUAUGGAAAGAGCAGAUGCUCCGUUGUGAGGGGUGAGGGGAUGAAGAGCCUGGUUAUACCCAGUCUACCCGUUUCUCUGGGUCUGGCUGUUCAUGUGCGUUCUUCGACAACUUUAAUGGAAGGCAUGACCACCUUGCUUGUCUCUAAGGACAGCCAAACUUAGUUUUUAAUUGGUCUUCCUUCUUCAAUGGUUCAUUAAAUACUAUACAGAGCCGUUUUACCAAAGCUGAACCCCCAGAAGGGUCUGUCUACUGCAUAGACGCUGUUUAUGGUGGCUGUCUACGGUUGCCUGAGACUGGGCAUUGAAGUCAGGCCUGGAAGAGAAGCUAGAGCUAAAAUCUCUGUGCCAAACCAAUAAAUAUAAAGAGUUCCUGAAAACUGGAGUGGAAGGAGUGGGUAUUUAAAUAGUCGUCUAGACAAAUAGAAGCCAGUGGUGAUAAAUCUAUAAUGAACAGCUUUUAAGAAUUACAACCGUGUUUUGCAUAAUAGAUAAGAGCAAAAGCCUGUUCUCUUAAAUUGACGGGGAAGAAUUCUGAUAAGCCGCAUUAGGAAGCAUGGCUGCAGAGAAGGAAACUGGUAAGAAAACUGAGCAAGUGCACGGCACGCAGCAUUCUGUAUCAGAAAUGUAAGGAAUUUGACAGUUGUUCUCUGAGUAUUCUUCCUCAAGAUCAAGAGGGAAAUGGAUUUCUAUUUAAUGGCAUGCUUUUUAAAAUUUAAUGUGCCCGCUAAUAAAGUAGCUUUCAAUUUGAAAGCAUUUUGCCUCCUGUUACCAUUUAGUCCUUUUGAAUAUAGAAAUCAAAAUUUGUUCUAAAUAUCACUGUGGGGGGACAUAUUUUAGUACUCCAAAUAUGAUUUUUUUCUCAUGUACCCUGUGUGUUGUUUUACGUUACAGUACGGUUAGAAAAACCUUCUGAAAUCUCCGUUCUUCAGUAAUUACCAAUUCAUUAAGUAGUAUGAGUUCUGAAGUAAUUAUGACGUCGGCUUUUGUUGUCUUGUCUGUCUGGUAACAUAAUCUACUUCCAGUUCAUUAAUAUUACAGCCGAUACUCAUCUGCCGCCUACACCAAUGGAGUAAGGGAUGAAGAGGAAGAGGCACCAAACAUUGGUCACAGCGACAAAGGCUCCUAAUUAUCGAAGACCAUUGAUGAAAGAAGUCGCACUUCAAUACACCUCUCUUCAAGUCUGAGGAAAGCAGUUGUUUACGUUUUAUUCACUUCCUGUGUGUGCGUGUGCAGUUUCCCUUGGUGGACUUAAGAGAGCGGAAGAUCACCUGGACCUAGAAGUACCGGUGGUCGGGAGCUGUCUCAGGUAGAGGCUGAGAAUGGAACCUGGGUUCUCUGGAAAAGCAGGGAGUGCUCUUAGCCACGAAGUCAUCCCCAACUUUCGUAAAAAUUAUGCUAGAGAAAACAUUAACACACCGAAAGCGCAUAAAAGCUUAACAGAGACAUCAGAAAACAACCUGACGUAAAGUACACCUUUGGGCUCUGGUUGACACUUCAAGUUUAAAAGAAGUGCCUGGAGAAACUUCAUUUUUUCCUAAAGAGCCGUAACUAUUUAGGAACACGUUUGUUAUUGUUUAUUCUCGAUCUUCAGUCACAGUCUCUUAAAAACGCAGUGCCCAGAAUGCCCAGUUAUGUUUGAGAGCAGUCCUGCCUCACAGACUUUCCUCAUGGUUGAUGAAUCCAGCACGUCUCACCGUGACAAUGGCUGCCCACAGUUACUGAGCACUUGUGGUAGGUGCCCAGGGUGUGGACUUCAGUUUUAUUGAUCUUAUUUAGUAUAAAUAUGAAUGUUGGGCUGGAGCAACGGCUCAGUGGUUAAGAUUACUUGAUGCUCUUACAGAACCUGGGUUUGAUUCCAAGCACCCACACAGAAGCUCAUAACCAUCUGUAACCCUAGUUCCAAAGUUGUCCUUUCCUGGCUUAAUGGGCCCCAAGAACACAUGGGGUCCAAAGAUAUUCAUGCGUGCAAAAUACCAUUCAUAAGAUAAGUUUUAAAAAUUAAAAAAGAGCAUGAAUGUAAAGUGUCUCCUAUGUGCAGUGGGUCCAGUAUUAAGUAGAGGAGACUUAGGAUGUUUACAGACCUAUGGUUAAGGCGAAGUCUUCCGCAUGGUGUCUACUUCCAGCCGCUCUUCAGGAUUCAUUUGUGUCGAUGCUUCAAGACUUGUUGGAAAGGAGUCAAGGCAAUGACCCCCAAAUUUCAACUUUACUCAAUGGUUUGCUGGCUUAGUCAAAUGUGUGGACCUGAGAAACAAGAUUGCUAAGGGUGUAUGUCUGGUUGAUGCUGAGUCCCGAGGCAGAAGACCAAAGUCCCAGGCAGAAUAGGGCUAGAAAGGCAGAGCACAUCUUCCCUAUUAAGCUUUUGUUGUUUUAAUCACUCUCAAGGCUUUGAUGAAUGGAAACACAGAGACAUGUUGAUGUGUGUCACCUGGUAACAGCCUCACAGGCCAAAGGAAAGCAUGUUUCCAAAGAUGUGGAUACCUCAUAACCGAGUCCACACAAUACUCACCUGACAUCACACAGUUACUUAAUCCCACAUAUGCAUACAUGUAUAACUCUCUCUGCCAUCUACUAUGGUUACUAUUCAAGCUAAAACGUCCUAUUUAAACCAGUUAAACUUCUAUUAAAACAGUUAAAUUUCACCAGCA
rnacentral:sRNA from 1 species